GAGACUGUGAUGAUAACGCUUACCAAAGCAUGUUCGAGUUUACCGACCAUGAGAUGAAAAGCUCCAUGCACCUCCAUCUGAGAUCUC